rnacentral:rRNA from 1 species
GACGAACGCUGGCGGCGUGCUUAACACAUGCAAGUCGAACGAAGUGGCGAACGGGUGAGUAAUACGUGGGUAACUGCCCUCCUUUUUGGGAUAAGCCUUGGAAACGGGGUCUAAUACCGAAUAAAGGGGGAUGGGCUCGCGGCCUAUCAGCUAGUUGGUGAGGUAAUGGCUCACCAAGGCGACGAUCCCUAGCUGGUCUGAGAGGAGAUCGGCCACACUGGGCUGAGACACGGCCCAGACUCCUACGGGAGGCAGCAGUUGGGAAUAUUGCACAAUGGGCGCAAGCCUGAUGCAGCCAUGCCGCGUGUAUGAAGAAGGCCCUAGGGUUGUAAAGUACUUUCGCUAUCGAACAGGUAGGUGGAGAAGAAGCGCCGGCUAACUACGUGCCAGCAGCCGCGGUAAUUC